rnacentral:rRNA from 1 species
CUAAGAAUAUUCCGCAAUGGACGAAAGUCUGACGGAGCGACGCCGCGUGGAUGAAGAAGGCCGAAAGGUUGUAAAGUUCUUUUGUUGGGGAAGAAUAACCAUGGGAGGGAAUGCCCGUGGGAUGACAUGAACCGACGAAUAAGCCCCGGCUAACUACGUGCCAGCAGCCGCGGUAACACGUAGGGGGCGAGCGUUGUUCGGAAUUACUGGGCGUAAAGGGCAUGUAGGCGGUCUUGUAAGCUUGGCGUGAAAGACCACGGCUCAACCGUGGGAUUGCGUUGAGAACUGCGAGGCUUGAGUGACGGAGAGGGAGCUAGAAUUCCUGGUGUAGGGGUGGAAUCUGUAGAGAUCAGGAAGAAUACCAAUGGCGAAGGCAAGCUCCUGGCCGAUGACUGACGCUGAGGUGCGAAAGUGUGGGGA